rnacentral:sRNA from 1 species
CGAAUCGUUGGAAUACGGAUGGCGCUGU